rnacentral:rRNA from 1 species
UACGGAGGAUCCAAGCGUUAUCCGGAUUUAUUGGGUUUAAAGGGUGCGUAGGCGGCCUGUUAAGUCAGGGGUGAAAGCCGGUAGCUCAACUACCGAAGUGCCUUUGAUACUGACGGGCUUGAAUGCAGCUGAAGUGGGCGGAAUGUGACAAGUAGCGGUGAAAUGCAUAGAGAUGUCACAGAACACCGAUUGCGAAGGCAGCUCACUAAAGUGCGAUUGACGCUGAGGCACGAAAGCGUGGGGAUCAAACAGG